AUGUCGCAGAAUGGAUACUUUGAGGAUGCAGGCUACCUCAAGUGUGACACAGAUGACGCCUCUGAAACCCGUGAGGAGAGCCUGAGGGAUGAGGCCUUCGACACGGUCAACUCCUCCAUUGUGUCUGGUGAAAGCAUCAGCUUUUUUGUCAACGUCAACCUCGAGGUGCAGCCUACCCAGUCUGAAUGUGAAUCACCUGGCGGCUACGGGCUCCUACACACCUCCCGCAAGUACCUGAUGUUAAAGAACUUUGAGGAAGAGAUCCGUGCACACCGGGACUUAGAUGGCUUCCUGGCACGGGCCAGAAUCAUCCUGGAUGAAACGGCCACCUCCCUGGAUGACGUGCUGCGGGCUAUGCUGUACCGCUUAGCCCAAGACCCUUACAACACCGAGCCAGAGUGCAACCUGGACCUGCUCACGGCCAUGCUCUUCACUGACGGAGGGGCUCCCAUGGAGGGCAAAGCAGUUCACCUGCUGUCGGACACCAUCCAAGGGGUCACUGCCACAGUAACGGGGGUACAAUACCAGCAGUCAUGGAUCUGUAUCCUCUGUACCUCCAAGGCCCUGCUGAGGCGACACGUGUGCAUCAGCCGCCUGGUCCGCCCGCAGAACUGGGGGCAGAAUUCCUGUGAGGUGCGGUUUGUCAUCCUGGUGCUGGCCCCACCCAAGAUGAAAAGCACCAAGACUGCCACAGAAGUGGGGCGCACAUUUGCCACUAUGAUGUUAGACAUCACCUUCCGCCAGAAGCUCCUGAAGACCCGCACAGAGGAGGAAUUCAAAGAAGCCCUGGUCCAUCAGAGACAGCUGCUCACCGUAAUGAGCCACUGUCCGAGUAUCAGCAUGGACUACAGCAUGAGCUCCAUCUGCAUCAUCAGACCCCCACAGCCCCCAAAGCAGAAGGACUUUCUCCCCAUGGGGAAGGGCAUCCAGGAGGACAUCGCCCGCAGGUUCCCUGUGUACCCACUGGACUUCACUGACGGCAUCAUUGGGAAAAACAAGGCUGUGGGCAAAUACAUCACCACCACCCUGUUCCUCUACUUUGCCUGCCUGCUGCCCACAAUUGCUUUUGGGUCCCUCAAUGAUGAGAACACAAAUGGAGCCAUCGACGUACAGAAGACUGUGGCCGGGCAGGGCAUUGGAGGCAUCCUGUACGCGCUCUUCUCUGGGCAGCCGCUGGUGGUGCUGCUGACGACUGCGCCCCUGGCCCUCUACAUCAAUGUAAUCCGUGACAUCUGCGAUGACUAUAAUCUGGACUUCAAUACCUUCUAUGCGUGGACAGGCCUGUGGAACAGUUUCUUCCUCACACUUUAUGCCCUCUUCAACCUCAGCCUGGUCAUGAGUCUUUUCAAGAGGUCAACAGAGGAGAUCAUUGCCUUGUUCAUUUCUAUCACAUUCAUCCUAGAUGCUAUCAAGGGCACAGUCAAGAUCUUCCAGAAGUACUACUAUGGCCGUGACAUUGGACUCUUCUUCAAAGAUAAGUCCUCCUUGGGGAGCCUGCUGGACCUCAAUAGUAGCCUCCACACUGCCCUCAACACCAGUUUCCUGACCAGCCCACCGGAGCUAACUUCAACGGGCAGCCAGGACUCUGAGCCCCUGGCCCGGGAUACAGCUGUGCUCAGCCUCCUCAUCAUGCUGGGCACGCUCUGGCUGAGCUACACCCUCUACCAGUUGAAGAAGAGCCCCUACCUGCACCCCUACGUGCGUGAGCUCCUGUCAGACUGCGCCUUGCCCAUUUCGGUGCUUACCUUCUCCCUCAUCUCUUCCUAUGGCUUCCAGGAGAUUAAGAUGGUCAAGUUUCGCUACAGCUCGAGUGACAGCCUGUUCGAGAUAGCCGAGAUGCACUCGCUAUCCCUGGUGGCCAUCAGCAGCGCCAUGGGCCUCGGCUUCCUCCUCUCCAUGCUCUUCUUCAUAGAGCAGAACCUGGUGGCUGCCUUGGCUAAUGCCCCACAGAACAGGCUGGUAAAGGGCACUGCCUACCACUGGGACCUCCUGCUCAUCGCCAUCAUCAAUACUGGGCUGUCUCUGUUUGGGCUGCCCUGGAUCCAUGCUGCCUACCCCCACUCCCUGCUGCACGUGCGAGCACUGGCUUUGGUGGAGGAGCAUGUAGAGAACGGGCACAUUUAUGAGACGAUUGUGAACGUGAAGGAGACUCGGCUGACCUCCCUGGGCGCCAGCGUCCUGGUGGGCUUCUCCCUCCUGCUGCUGCCCUUCCCACUGCAGUGGAUCCCCAAGCCCGUGCUCUAUGGCCUCUUCCUCUACCUCGCGCUCACCUCCAUCGACGGCAACCAGCUCUUUCAGCGCAUGGUGCUGCUGCUCAAGGACCAGGCGAGUGGCCCUGAGGGCGGGGGUAGGGGUGGGGCAUCUGGCUCCAGACCUGCCCACACCUGGUCCCUGCCACCCACAGACGUCAUACCCACCCACCCACUACAUCCGGAGGGUGCCCCAGAGGAAGAUCCACUACUUCACAGGCCUGCAGGUCCUGCAGCUGCUGCUGCUCUGUGCCUUUGGCAUGAGCCCACUGCUCUACAUGAAGAUGGUCUUUCCCCUCAUCAUGAUUGCCAUGAUCCCCAUUCGGUAUGGAGGGCGGACAGCAGGCAGAAAGGACGCAGCGGGGCGGGAGAGGGUGGGCUGGAACGGCUGCUCUCUGCCUAUUCCUCCCUGCCCCAGUGCUUAUCUUCCUGCCUGUUCCUCCUCCCCGCAGCUACAACGUGCUGCCCCAAAUCAUUGAAGCCAAGUACUUGGAUGCCAUGGACGCUGAACACUGAUGCCCUGACUUGCAGGUCCUGGCCACCCCCCAUGCGCCCGUUUCUCCAGGUCUCCCCAGGCUGGCUGUGUAGCUGUGUGUGGGCAUCCGGGAAUGCGGCUCUGUGCUGCAGCCCCUCACAGCUGUCCCAAGUGGCCAAGGGUGCCUGGGCACUGAGGCAGCUCUGA
rnacentral:lncRNA from 1 species